rnacentral:rRNA from 1 species
CCGAGUUAUUCAACUCAUCAACCCUGUGAACUUACCUAAACGUUGCUUCGGCGGGAAUAGACGGCCCUGUAAAACGGGCCGCCCCCGCCAGAGGACUCUUAACUCUGUUUCUUAUAAUGUUUCUUCUGAGUAAAACAAGCAAAUAAAUUAAAACUUUCAACAACGGAUCUCUUGGCUCUGGCAUCGAUGAAGAACGCAGCGAAAUGCGAUAAGUAAUGUGAAUUGCAGAAUUCAGUGAAUCAUCGAAUCUUUGAACGCACAUUGCGCCCGCCAGUAUUCUGGCGGGCAUGCCUGUUCGAGCGUCAUUACAACCCUCAGGCCCCCGGGCCUGGCGUUGGGGAUCGGCGGAGCGCCCCUCGUGGGCGCACGCCGUCCCCCAAAUACAGUGGCGGUCCCGCCGCAGCUUCCAUCGCGUAGUAGCUAACACCUCGCGACUGGAGAGCGGCGCGGCCACGCCGUAAAACACCCCAACUCUUCUGAAGUUGACCUCGAAUCAGGUAGGAAUACCCGCUGAACUUAAGCAUAUCAAUAAGCGGAGGAAAAGAAACCAACAGGGAUUGCCCCAGUAACGGCGAGUGAAGCGGCAACAGCUCAAAUUUGAAAUCUGGCUCUCGGGCCCGAGUUGUAAUUUGUAGAGGAUGCUUUUGGUGAGGUGCCUUCCGAGUUCCCUGGAACGGGACGCCAUAGAGGGUGAGAGCCCCGUCUGGUUGGACGCCGAACCUCUGUAAAGCUCCUUCGACGAGUCGAGUAGUUUGGGAAUGCUGCUCUAAAUGGGAGGUAUAUGUCUUCUAAAGCUAAAUACCGGCCAGAGACCGAUAGCGCACAAGUAGAGUGAUCGAAAGAUGAAAAGAACUUUGAAAAGAGAGUUAAACAGUACGUGAAAUUGUUGAAAGGGAAGCGCUUGUGACCAGACUUGGGCUUGGUUGAUCAUCCGGGGUUCUCCCCGGUGCACUCUUCCGGCCCAGGCCAGCAUCAGUUCGCCCUGGGGGACAAAGGCUUCGGGAACGUGGCUCUCUCCGGGGAGUGUUAU